UCCGCUGGUUCCGCAAUGUUGUCUGUGUAGCAGCGCCAAAAUUUUAGCCACAGAGGCCAACAUCUCCGCAAUAUGCCCGCUCUCAACAGUCCAUUCGCGGCACAGCAACUAAACCCAAGCGCUGGACUCGUCAAGCUAGCUGUUUAGCACGCGUGUGUUACUGGACAUUCCGAUGACACCGACAAUGGCACGGCCGGCGGAACUUCUCCGCAUACCGUUUCGGAUAUUAGCAGUGGUGACCGUGCUGCUUCCCUUCAGUUCGUUCGUCUUCUGUGUCCUGUGGUCGCUGCUUUACAACUUUUCUUCAGUCACGUCGACGCACUGUGGGGUGGCAAACUAUCUUCCAUCUGUCAGUGCAGCGAUAGGGGGCCACACACCACAGCGCUACAUUUGGCGCUUUGGGAUCGCCCUACAUUCUGCUCCUAGGAUUCUCAUCAGUGCUAUGUACCAUCGCUACUACCAGAACAUGCUUGACACCCAACAUCAGUAUGUUGCCCGAAUUGCCUUCUGGAUAAACGUUGCCGAGAUCCUCACACUGUUGGGCCUCUCCAAUGUCACAUCUACUGAAAAUUAUGCUAUCCAUGAAAAGAUGUUUGUAACAUUCAUAUUGUGCUCCCUUAUGUACAUGAUACUGUGCUGUGUUAUACCAAGUCUUGGUCGAAGACGUUCACUCUCAGGACUGGAAGCAUACUCCUUGAAGGUGAAGAAGCAACUGACUGCAAUGUCUGUCAUCCUUUCUCUUCUGUGUACCUUCUUUUUCAUUCGACAUACCACACACUGCGAACCAGGAAUGUACACCCUCUUUUCAGCAAGUGAAUACAUUGUGGUGAUAUGCAACAUGGGAUUCCAUAUGACUUCCUACUGGGACUUUGCAGACAAGGCGCUUUAUGUUUCAAACCUUCAGUGUGAAAGCACAGAGGACAAGGUCAGCUGAGUCACUGCGACAUAGUGUGCCGAUAUCUCUCUGAAAGAUGCCCUCGAUCCCAAUUAAGAGCGAGCUUGGCUCCGCUUGGAGUUCAGCGUGGUGCAAACACGUCAUCGACAUUUCCACAUUGAACGACUGCUGCCAUUGAAUCAAGAUGUUUGAUUGGUUGUGCCACAGAGAAAAAGAUCCUUGAACAGGAACAUCAGCAUUCCCCUAGCCUCGAUGUGCUGCGUGUCACUGGACAUCUGCACAUUUCCAGGAAACCAAAAAAUUGCCACUGAAACGUCCGGCGCUUUCUUUUCAGAUCUAAUUGUGUACUCGAAGACUCUACGACCAGAGGCUCUGACUUUGCAUACGUAAAUAAAACCCUUUAGGAUUGUCCUUUCCACUACGCCGAAGGCAAACCAGUUUUAAGCUAGGACUUCGUAUUUUACGAAACUGAGUAUAUACUGUGAUAUUUGAUAGUGCAGGAGCUGGGUUCCUGUACCCGUUUGUAAUUUCUGCUUUUGUAAAUGACCAAUCUGUUAUGGAAUCUUGCGCAAUAAAGCUAGUUUGUUUGCAAGUGGUUUAUUUCAUUUUGAUGUGAAAGCGUCAAAUGGCCCAUUGAGUGGAAAAACCAGCCUCUGUAGUCUGUAGCAGUAAAACAGCAUCUCAAUUCCCAUUGGCUGCACACCAUAUCGCAAGCAUGCCUCGACGGAGUUUCCAGUGGCUGUGACGCCAUGUCAUGAGCCCACCUCAAAGGAGCAGAGUGGGUGAAAGUGGACACCUGCUGCUAUAGCACGGCAGGUGUUGUGCGAGGGGAGAGCACAUCACCAGGAUGCCACAUCACCCUCACUCUCGGAAACCGGCGCAUGGUCUAUAUCUCUCUCACCCCCACUGGGCUUAGCUGCUUCCUCGGUCUUGUCACAUAGGACAUCAGUGGCAUGCGGCGUUCAGUUGGACAUUAAUGCUUUCACAUUCACAACUCGUAAGUGCUUAGGUGUCCUCGGAUGUUUUUUUUUUUUUACAUUAUGCAAGUAAUCUAAUCUUCAAAAAGUUCAAAGUGUCCAAUGACAUAUUUGGUAGCAGUGCACACUACCGAAUAUUGCAUGAAUAGGUGUGCACAUAUACAUAGUCUAUUUAGUAAACCACUGGCUUGUUCAUGUUCAAACUUUGUGGAGAGGUGGCACAUUGCAGCGCAUGCUGUUUAACAACACAUUUAAAUGCAUCGCCUGGUUUUUUCAUACACGAUCAACCAGAAGUGCAUAUCUCCUGCUGCAAUGCCAAACAAAUAAGGAUAGAACAAUGAAGCCAUCUCUUGCUCGAACCAUGAAACAUCCCUUGUGGCAAGUUUAGUCCCAACUGACAUAUGAUGCCACUAUCUUAUGCCAACCAGAGGCCUAGAUUGGGCCUUUGUUUCAGCAGAAUCGACAUUGUAAUGUAAUAAGCAUUCUUGGGAUACUUCACACAUCUGGUAUUUAUGUCUGUGCGCAUUUCUCUUCACUAAUUUAGGUUACUGGGUUGUCCAUGGUUUAACGGGCAAGAGCAUCGAGCUACUGUGGCGAGGGAACCAAGUAUGAAACCAGCUAUCGAACUAACUUGGGUCACUGGGUAUGAGACAUUAAGUAUGCAUCGCUUCAACGAACCUCUCGCACCAACUUGGGUUACUAGGCAUGUGCCACUCAUCAAUGAACCUCUGACCUCACUGGGUACGUGCAGCUUUUCAGUGACAAAAAAAGAAAAAGAAAAGAAA